AUGUGUAAUAUUUGUGGCAACGGAGAGGAGGAUGAACAUCAUGCCGUGAUCACUUGUCCAAAGAACAGAGCCCUCCGAGAUGCCAUGAGGAAGGAAUGGACUCUGCCAUCAAAGAAGUCCUUUAGAUAUACAGGAAUCGAUUGGUUGCAGGUGCUACUGGACAAAGAGCCUUAGGAAAUGAGGGCAAAAAAUUUAAUGCUGCUAUGGAGGUGUUGGCAUUUGAGGGAGGAUAUCCUUCGACAUAAUGGCAAAGAAUCAAGGGUGGGAUCUAUGCUUUUCUUAAAGAAAUAUGUUGAGGAUCUGGUCGAGGCAGUAGCGGCUGGGAAUGUACUUAGCGAUGGCAACAAUGCCCGAUCCAACUGCCCUUCAAAGCAGAACAUACAUGCUGAAAUAUAG
rnacentral:rRNA from 1 species